rnacentral:rRNA from 1 species
UACGAACCGUGCGAACGUUGUUCGGAAUCACUGGGCUUAAAGGGCGCGUAGGCGGGCUGCCAAGUCUGGGGUGAAAUCCCACGGCUCAACCGUGGAACUGCCUCGGAUACUGGCGACCUCGAGGGGGGUAGGGGCGUGCGGAACUGUGGGUGGAGCGGUGAAAUGCGUUGAUAUCCACAGGAACUCCGGUGGCGAAGGCGGCACGCUGGACCUCUUCUGACGCUGAGGCGCGAAAGCCAGGGGAGCAAACGGG